AUGGUUUUCAGGACCAGCAGUGUUUCGGAAUGUGAUACCACGAGCUAUAAAUCCUUCACCAGUCACCGCUAAUUAUCAUAGAAGACAAGUUUACCGAUUCAAAUGUUGUUGAAAUGGAGGUAAAUGACCUUAUAAACAGUCAACACAAAGAGAGGGAGAGGGACUUACCAACAGUAGCAGAAUGGAAAGUGGUGGAGCCUCCUCUAACACUUCGACUACCAGUAAUGAUGCUGCCUCUAGAGCCGCUCCAACUGUCCUAUGGUCACCGGAUCCGUCCUGAGCCACGACAAGGUCUGUCUUUACUGAAGAUGACUGCAGUAGCC